GAUUCACAGGCUGCUCUAGUCCCCUCUAGUAGGCCUGAAUAUAACGGCCUACGAGACGACGGAGAAAACGACCAUGGAAAAUAGGGUGUUGCGGUAAAUUGCGAUCGCUGAGAAUCAGAUAAAAAUCGCGGUGAUGUGAUCAUAAUGAUACAUUUGCUAGAAAGCCCCCUCAAGAAAGAAGUGAAAAGUUGUAACUCCCAUUGUGCAACUUUCAAGGCUGUGCUUCACUGGUUAUGAAUCGCGCCGUUCUUGCAUCCCGCUGUUAGUUUUAGCAUUGCCGCGCGCUUGUUUUCGAAUCUACUUACCGAUAAGAUGGAAUGCUGAGUUGGUCUUGCCCAAGUGUCGUGGGUUUAGGUGGACUUUGGAGCCUAUAAACACCGACCAGGCAAGCUCCUACCACUAACACAAACAACACGAACUUGUUCCGCCGAAUACAAAUCAUGAUGAGUUCUACCUCGGCGGUGAAAUCAUCUUGUUUAGAGGGUCAGUUUAUGGUCUUACGCCCGAAGAUCGCAGGAUACAAGUCCUCACGUGCCCCGAAGACCUGUCAAAGAUAUGUCAUCAAUUAGUCAACGCGAAUAAAGGGUCGAUGAAUAACUGAUAUCCGAUACUUUGCAAGUCACAACAUAAUACCAGCACCAGUGGUCAAAGACCGCAAGUACCGCUGAGACGCUGUAUUUUGUACAUUACGCCGACCUCAGACGGGGCUGCUUCAGAGAGAGACGGGAGUAUUUCAAGUUGACAGGGGGUCAUUAACGAGGUCAGGAUCCCGUUUACGGAUAACAUUCCGUCCCACUUCCGGUUGAGUACGACACGCGAAACAUGCCCGGAUACCCAGUGCUCUUUGCUGUCGCCUCUAAAUGGACUCUACCUCCGCGGCUAGGCUCGCGGUGCAUGUGAAAGCGCUUUCCGUCACGCACACUUCGUAUUAACGUGUACCGUGAGCUGUGUCUGAGAGUUUAGGUACUGGAUGUAUGCGUGACAGCGCACUUUCCGUUACAAUUUGAAGUGCCUGACAGGCUUAGGAUAUGUUGCCUUUUGCGAUAAGCAGUCACGCACUCCACUUGCCUUGUUCCGCCAUGUUCUCGCGCCUAACCCUGGGUUACCCUGGGUACCAGAGGCUCCAAGCUACGCGGAAUUUCCGGUUUUCCCAGCAUGCUAGGGGGCGGGGGAUCAAAUGGGCUUUCGGCGUCAGCUCCUCACUUCGUAGUAAUUCUCGCUUUGCUCGAAAAACUCUCGCGAAAAAAACUCCCGCUUCGCUCAAAAAACUCUCGCGAAAAAGAAAAACCCUAGCUUCGCUCCUCUGUCACACAAAGCGCUCUCCACAGGGCCUUUGAGAGCGUCAGCAGGCUCCUUGCGCGUCUUUGCUUCCAUUUCUUUUCAUGUAUUUGUCCAUCAUUGACACAACUUUUACAAAUGAGCAAAAUUCCAGUAUAUAGGCAAGGAACGCAAGCCUAGCUCGAACUAACUUUUAUUGCUAAGAUAUGGAAUCGUCCGCCAGGAAUCCGCACGGAUAACUAAAAUAACAGUUGGCAAUGUUCAAAACAGAUUUGUGCACCCCACGCAAUCUUAUAUCACGCAUAAGCUUGAUAUAAAUAAAAUAGAUAUCAAUUGGGAAGGGGAGGAGAGGCGUCCGUCUAAAUUCUUUUGUAAAUUCAUACGCUCAGAACUUUUGGAUGAAUCAAAGGUUUUAGAGAAUUGCUCAGUUCUCUGAUAAGGUAAUAAAAUUUCGCGACGCAUAUAGAAUACUAUCGCGAUAAGUAAGGUCGCCAAGGUAACGCACGGCAAAACACAAAAGAAAAAGAUAUAAUUUAGCCCCGCAUAAAAAAAAACUAAUAACCAUAUGACCAACUUUCUUGAAGAAAAUUGAAUAUAAAAAUGCUAUUAAGCCAACCUGCUAGAAACUGCUGAUUGCGA